rnacentral:rRNA from 1 species
AUUGAACGCUGGCGGCAUGCUUUACACAUGCAAGUCGGACGGCAGCGGGGUAGUGCUUGCACUACUGCCGGCGAGUGGCGAACGGGUGAGUAAUAUAUUGGAACGUACCGAGUAAUGGGGGAUAACCAAUCGAAAGAUUGGCUAAUACCGCAUACGCUCUGAGGAGGAAAGCAGGGGACCUUCGGGCCUUGCGUUAUUCGAGCGGCCAAUAUCUGAUUAGCUAGUUGGUGGGGUAAGGGCCUACCAAGGCGACGAUCAGUAGCGGGUCUGAGAGGAUGAUCCGCCACACUGGGACUGAGACACGGCCCAGACUCCUACGGGAGGCAGCAGUGGGGAAUUUUGGACAAUGGGCGCAAGCCUGAUCCAGCCAUGCCGCGUGUCUGAAGAAGGCCUUCGGGUUGUAAAGGACUUUUGUUAGGGACGAAAAAGGAGCGGUUAAUACCCGUUUCUGCUGACGGUACCUAAAGAAUAAGCACCGGCUAACUACGUGCCAGCAGCCGCGGUAAUACGUAGGGUGCGAGCGUUAAUCGGAAUUACUGGGCGUAAAGCGAGCGCAGACGGUUACUUAAGCAGGAUGUGAAAUCCCCGGGCUCAACCUGGGAACUGCGUUCUGAACUGGGUAGCUAGAGUAUGUCAGAGGGGGGUAGAAUUCCACGUGUAGCAGUGAAAUGCGUAGAGAUGUGGAGGAAUACCGAUGGCGAAGGCAGCCCCCUGGGAUAAUACUGACGUUCAUGCUCGAAAGCGUGGGUAGCAAACAGG